rnacentral:lncRNA from 1 species
CUGAUCCUUAAUAUCUGGUAUUUUGCUUGUAAGUCUACUGAUAAGGGAUUAUUGGAAGCCAGUCAUACAAUUUGAAAGUAAACUCCAGUCUCUCUGUAGGCCAAGGACUCACUGCAAAACAUUUUUGCAAGUAUGAAUGCUUAGAUUUGAUUCAUGAACAAUACAUUUUAGACUGGUUUAGAAUUAUUGAUAACUUAUUUUAAAACAAAGGAAAAACAACUGAGCACGAGUUUGCUGUCUUUAGAGCAGUUUGUGAAAAUACGGUAUAAAGAUGUUUUCAUUUUCUUGUUCUUUUAAAUAUUAUUGUACAGAGCUGUUAUUAAUGCCUUCUUUUUAAAUCUUAAAAAU